rnacentral:lncRNA from 1 species
UCUUAGCCGUCCAUCAUAAAACUCACCUACUGAUGAUAAAACUCACCUACGGAUGUAAAGCUCUUUUGUCUUGAAUUGGGGGUAUCUCAAUUUUUUUUUCAAAUGGGGGUAUCUCAAAUUUCGACUUUCAAAUGGGGGGGUAUGUCCAAAAAUCUCUAAAAAAAAUACUGUUCCAUGGUUAUUACCUUCUUGAAUUUCAAGUGUAAUGAGAGAAAAUCAUCCAUGCUAACAACCUGUGUGGAUUUGCAGAGCUGCUAAGAGGUGGAUCAAAAGCCUAGGGUCUAGGGAGUUUAUUUCUCUGUGGUUCCUUGCCUAUGCUCUUGAGGCACUUUGCUUUGAAACAGGUGGAUCAAAAGCCUGCAAAUGACAAACAUCCUAUGAAAUAAAUAUUAGUUUUAAGAGAGAAAAUUUACAGAUAUAAACAGCAGAGAACAAACUAAGCAAAAUUGCAGUCAUGGAUGCUACCAGUAUGAAUUCGACCAUGUAGAAGUAAUCCUCCGGAUGCUAGAAACAUGACAAAUGAAUUCUAAGCUCAGGUGACAUACAUGAGAUACAAGCAUAACUGCACUGAAGAAUAUUCCCAUUUCAAAGUUCCUUGUGGUAAAAUUUCCUUGACAUAUUGGCUAAACAUUCAAGCUGUGCUCCUAAUUAAAAAAUCAUUGUUGAUCUUAUAAAAAAAAAGCUAGAGAGAGAAGAAAACAGAAGUAUAUACUUAAUUUGUCCCCAUUUUUAUACAUCUAAUUGGUUUAGACGUUUAGGUAAGGCUGGGGGCACCUUUGUAUCAUAGAAUCUGUAAGCCUUGGGCCAUAGUCACAGGUCACAACAUCUUAUCUUGGCGUUAUGUACUUCCCCAUCUUAUAUAUAUGGACUGGUAACUGGUUUAAUGAACAGGUAUGAGAAAAGAUUAGUUUUAAGGAUCCUGAUU